rnacentral:rRNA from 1 species
GAAAGCGAGCGGCGGAUGGGUGAGUAACACGUGGGGAACCUGCCCCAUAGUCUGGGAUACCACUUGGAAACAGGUGCUAAUACCGGAUAAGAAAGCAGAUCGCAUGAUCAGCUUUUAAAAGGCGGCGUAAGCUGUCGCUAUGGGAUGGCCCCGCGGUGCAUUAGCUAGUUGGUAAGGUAAAGGCUUACCAAGGCGAUGAUGCAUAGCCGAGUUGAGAGACUGAUCGGCCACAUUGGGACUGAGACACGGCCCAAACUCCUACGGGAGGCAGCAGUAGGGAAUCUUCCACAAUGGACGCAAGUCUGAUGGAGCAACGCCGCGUGAGUGAAGAAGGUUUUCGGAUCGUAAAGCUCUGUUGUUGGUGAAGAAGGAUAGAGGUAGUAACUGGCCUUUAUUUGACGGUAAUCAACCAGAAAGUCACGGCUAACUACGUGCCAGCAGCCGCGGUAAUACGUAGGUGGCAAGCGUUGUCCGGAUUUAUUGGGCGUAAAGCGAGCGCAGGCGGAAGAAUAAGUCUGAUGUGAAAGCCCUCGGCUUAACCGAGGAACUGCAUCGGAAACUGUUUUUCUUGAGUGCAGAAGAGGAGAGUGGAACUCCAUGUGUAGCGGUGGAAUGCGUAGAUAUAUGGAAGAACACCAGUGGCGAAGGCGGCUCUCUGGUCUGCAACUGACGCUGAGGCUCGAAAGCAUGGGUAGCGAACAGGAUUAGAUACCCCUGGUAGUCCAUGCCGUAAAACGAUGAGUGCUAAGUGUUGGGAGGUUU